rnacentral:tRNA from 2 species
GCCUGGGUGGCGGAAUUGGUAGACGCUGCGGACUUAAAAUCCGUUGCCCUUUUGGGCGUGAGGGUUCAAGUCCCUCCCCGGGCA